AUGCCUUUGCAAGGAGUUUGCUGGUUUCUGUGCUGCAGGCAGGGCUUCAGUUUGCUGGGACGGGACUAUGGGGAAAAGGAGGAGGAAGAGUCUUUUGAGUUGCGCAACAAGGAGGACUUGACCCCCAAUGGACGGACUCCAGCUGAGGUGACUGUUUCUCAGCCAACUUGUACAGCCAAUGGAACAAAUGGGCACACUAUCUCACAGUCACCUGUCAAGAUGAAGAAACCGAUCACUGAGGAGAAUGAGAUGGGACUGGAGGAAGAGCCUGAGCUGUUGGUGAAAGGUGGGUCACACUUGAACAACAAACACAAUGCAACACACCAACAUGACUAAUCUUCCUUAGAUCAAUGCUCUUAACUGAAACAAUCAGGCCAGUGACCGGAUUCAGUAUUGUUGUGACAAAAUAAUUCACCAAUAGACAGAAAAUGGUCGCCAGUUAAGUGAAAGGGUGAAACUGUUGAAGAGUCAUGUACACAAGCUGUUAUUGCUUCGCCACACUGAUGCUGAUCAAACACCUUUCACCUUCGGACUGUUGGUCAAACUAAAUCAACAACUCCUGAAACUGGAAGAACAUUUUUAUGCAGUUGACAAGAGCACAGAAUGAUUGAAAACAAAUCACAUCUUCAUUUAAUACUAAAUAAUCUGUUUUUGUUAGUAGAUUAUCACUUUUCUGUGCUUCCUAGUGUGAUUAAAUAUCAUGCAUUGUCCAAACCGUCUCCUGUUGCAGCUGCACGCUGGGCCGCUGCCCUGCCGCUAACCCCUCUGUGACCACAUGUGGUGCACAGCUACUGGCAUCAGCAGCUUCAUCUUGCA
rnacentral:lncRNA from 1 species